GACGCUGGCGGCAGGCCUAACACAUGCAAGUCGAGCGGCAGCGACUUAACUGAACCUUCGGGGAACGUUAAGGGCGGCGAGCGGCGGACGGGUGAGUAAUGCCUGGGAAUAUGCCCUGAUGUGGGGGAUAACUAUUGGAAACGAUAGCUAAUACCGCAUAAUCUCUUCGGAGCAAAGAGGGGGACCUUCGGGCCUCUCGCGUCAGGAUUAGCCCAGGUGGGAUUAGCUUGUUGGUGAGGUAAUGGCUCACCAAGGCAACGAUCCCUAGCUGGUCUGAGAGGAUGAUCAGCCACACUGGAACUGAGACACGGUCCAGACUCCUACGGGAGGCAGCAGUGGGGAAUAUUGCACAAUGGGGGAAACCCUGAUGCAGCCAUGCCGCGUGUGUGAAGAAGGCCUUCGGGUUGUAAAGCACUUUCAGUAGGGAGGAAGGUAGUGUAGUUAACACCUGCACUAUUUGACGUUACCUACAGAAGAAGCACCGGCUAACUCCGUGCCAGCAGCCGCGGUAAUACGGAGGGUGCGAGCGUUAAUCGGAAUUACUGGGCGUAAAGCGCAUGCAGGCGGCCUGUUAAGUCAGAUGUGAAAGCCCGGGGCUUAACCUCGGAAUUGCAUUUGAAACUGGCAGGCUAGAGUCUUGUAGAGGGGGGGUAGAAUUUCA
rnacentral:rRNA from 2 species